rnacentral:rRNA from 1 species
UACGGAGGGUGCAAGCGUUACCCGGAUUUACUGGGUUUAAAGGGUGCGUAGGCGGGCAUGUAAGUCAGUGGUGAAAUACCGGAGCUUAACUUCGGAACUGCCAUUGAUACUAUAUGUCUUGAAUAUUGUGGAGGUAAGCGGAAUAUGUCAUGUAGCGGUGAAAUGCAUAGAUAUGACAUAGAACACCGAUUGCGGAGGCAGCUUGCUACACAAAUAUUGACGCUGAGGCACGAAAGCGUGGGGAUCAAACAGG